rnacentral:rRNA from 1 species
AUUGAACGCUGGCGGCAGGCCUAACACAUGCAAGUCGAGCGGAUGAAGGGAGCUUGCUCCUGGAUUCAGCGGCGGACGGGUGAGUAAUGCCUAGGAAUCUGCCUGGUAGUGGGGGAUAACGUCCGGAAACGGGCGCUAAUACCGCAUACGUCCUGAGGGAGAAAGUGGGGGAUCUUCGGACCUCACGCUAUCAGAUGAGCCUAGGUCGGAUUAGCUAGUUGGUGGGGUAAAGGCCUACCAAGGCGACGAUCCGUAACUGGUCUGAGAGGAUGAUCAGUCACACUGGAACUGAGACACGGUCCAGACUCCUACGGGAGGCAGCAGUAGGGAAUAUUGGACAAUGGGCGAAAGCCUGACCCAGCCAUGCCGCGUGUGUGAAGAAGGUCUUCGGAUUGUAAAGCACUUUAAGUUGGGAGGAAGGGCAGUAAGUUAAUACCUUGCUGUCUUGACGUUACCAACAGAAUAAGCACCGGCUAACUUCGUG